rnacentral:rRNA from 1 species
GAUGAACGCUGGCGGCGUGCCUAAUACAUGCAAGUCGAGCGAACAGACGAGGAGCUUGCUCCUCUGACGUUAGCGGCUGACGGGUGAGUAACACGUGGAUAACCUACCUAUUAUACUGGGAUAACUUCGUGAAACCGGAUCUGAUACCGGAUAAUAUAUUGAACCGCAUGGUUCAAUAGUGAAUGACGGUUUUCCUGUCACUUUUAGAUGGUUUCGGGUCGCAUUAGCUAGUUGGUAAGGUAACGGCUUACCAAGGCAACGAUGCGUAGCGGACCUGAGAGGGGGAUCGGCCACACUGGAACUGAGACACGGGCCAGCCUCUUACGGAGGGCAGCGGGAGGGAAUCUUGCGCAAUGGGCGAAGGCCUGACGGAGCAACGCCGCGGGGGUGAGAAGGGUCUUCGGUUGGUAAAACUUUGUGAUUGGGAAGAAAAGAAUGUGUAAGUAACUAUGCUGGUCUGGAGGGGACCGAAGCAGAAAGCCAGGGUUAACUACGU